AGUUAUUGUGCGAAAAAAAAACAGACAAAACUGAUCGUAUCAUUGAAAUUUGCAAUUCAAUUGAACCGUAAGCACAACUACCUACAUAAUACAAUAUUAUGUUUAUUUUCAAUAACGUGUUUUAUUUUUAUGUAAUUUGUACAGGAUAUUUUUUUUUUGUCGGCUGUCAAACAUGUCGGAUAGGUACGUGUUUGAUACGAUUGGAUAGAAACGUUCGUGUUUUCAAAUCGCGUCCGUGUAUUUUACACAAGUUUCACGCCAUCGUGCAGUAUGGAAGUCUGUUGUGAAUAAACCAUGGGUAUUACUGGAUGUAUUUCAAGAAUACAUUAUUAUGUAUUAUGUAUAUUGCAGUUGUACGUGUAAAAAAAAAAAAAAACCGAAAUUCAAAUAUACUAACGUGAAAAUAAACAAAGUAACUGUAGAGUUGGGUGAAUACUCGAAUU